rnacentral:tRNA from 1 species
GGUUGUGGCUCAGUGGUAGAGUGCUUGCCUAGCAUGCACAAGGCACUGGGUUCGAUCCCCGGCACCA